rnacentral:rRNA from 1 species
UGAAUACGAGAUGCUACGGCGUCGAAGCAGUCUAUGUCAUACUUCCAAGAAAAGCUUGCACUGUCAUAAACAAAUAAUGCCUGUACCAUAACCGACACAGGUGGGUAGGUAGAGUAUACUAAGGGGCGCGAGAUAACUCUCUCUAAGGAACUCGGCAAAAUGACUCCGUAACUUCGGGAGAAGGAGUGCCUUAUUUAUAAGGUUGCAAUAACAAGAUCCAAGCAACUGUUUACCAAAAACACAGGUCUCCGCUAAGUCGUAAGACGAUGUAUGGGGGCUGACGCCUGCCCAGUGCCAGAAGGUUAAAGAAGUUGGUUAGCAUCCGCGAAGCUGAUAACUGAAGCCCUGGUGAACGGCGGUCGUAACUAUAACGGUCCUAAGGUAGCGAAAUUCCUUGUCGGGUAAGUUCCGACCCGCACGAAAGGCGUAAUGAUUUGGAUACUGUCUCGGAGAGGGGCUCGGUGAAAUAGACUUGUCUGUGAAGAUGCGGACUACCUGCACCAGGACAGAAAGACCCUAUGAGGCUUUACUGUAACCUGAAAUUGAAAUUGGACUUUACUUGCGCAGUAUAGGUGGGAGGCGUUGAGAAUAUUCUUGCGGGAUUAUUGGAGCCAUCAGUGAGAUACCACUCUUGUAAUGUUAGAUUUCUAACUUUGUAUCAUUAUCUGGUCAAAGAACAGUUUCAGGCGGGCAGUUUGACUGGGGCGGUCGCCUCCUAAACGGUAACGGAGGCGCACAAAGGUUUCCUCUGAACGGGUAGAAAUCGUAUCUAGAGUGUAAAGGCAUAAGGAAGCUUGACUGUGAGACCUACAAGUCGAGCAGGGACGAAAGUCGGUCUUAGUGAUCUGACGGUGCUGAGUGGAAAGGCCGUCACUCAACGGAUAAAAGUUACUCUAGGAUAACAGGCUGAUCUCCCCCAAGAGUUCACAUCAACGGGGAGGUUUGGCACCUCGAUGUCGGCUCAUCGCAUCCUGGGGCGGUAGUACGUCCCAAGGGCUGGGCUGUUCGCCCAUGAAAGCGGUACGCGAGCUGGGUUCAGAACGUCGUGAGACAGUUCGGUCCAUAUCCGGUGUAGGCGUUAGAAUAUUGAGAGGAGCCUUCUUUAGUACGAGAGGACCGAGAAGGACAUACCUCUGGUGUACCAGUUAUCGUGCCAACGGUAAACGCUGGGUAGCUAUGUGUGGAGUGGAUAACCGCUGAAAGCAUCUAAGUGGGAAGCCCACCUCAAGAUAAGUAUUCUCGU